rnacentral:rRNA from 1 species
ACGAACGCUGGCGGCACGCUUAACACAUGCAAGUCGAACGAGAGAAGAGAAGCUUGCUUUUCUGAUCUAGUGGCGGACGGGUGAGUAACACGUGAGCAAUCUGCCUUUCAGAGGGGGAUACCGAUUGGAAACGAUCGUUAAUACCGCAUAACAUAAUUGAACCGCAUGAUUUGAUUAUCAAAGAUUUAUCGCUGAAAGAUGAGCUCGCGUCUGAUUAGCUAGUUGGUAAGGUAACGGCUUACCAAGGCGACGAUCAGUAGCCGGACUGAGAGGUUGAUCGGCCACAUUGGGACUGAGACACGGCCCAGACUCCUACGGGAGGCAGCAGUGGGGAAUAUUGCACAAUGGAGGAAACUCUGAUGCAGCGAUGCCGCGUGAGGGAAGAAGGUUUUAGGAUUGUAAACCUCUGUCUUCAGGGACGAAAAAAGACGGUACCUGAGGAGGAAGCUCCGGCUAACUACGUGCCAGCAGCCGCGGUAAUACGUAGGGAGCGAGCGUUGUCCGGAAUUACUGGGUGUAAAGGGAGCGUAGGCGGGAUCGCAAGUCAGAUGUGAAAACUAUGGGCUUAACCCAUAAACUGCAUUUGAAACUGUGGUUCUUGAGUGAAGUAGAGGUAAGCGGAAUUCCUAGUGUAGCGGUGAAAUGCGUAGAUAUUAGGAGGAACAUCAGUGGCGAAGGCGGCUUACUGGGCUUUAACUGACGCUGAGGCUCGAAAGCGUGGGGAGCAAACAGGAUUAGAUACCCUGGUAGUCCACGCCGUAAACGAUGAUUACUAGGUGUGGGGGGACUGACCCCUUCCGUGCCGCAGCAAACGCAAUAAGUAAUCCACCUGGGGAGUACGACCGCAAGGUUGAAACUCAAAGGAAUUGACGGGGGCCCGCACAAGCAGUGGAGUAUGUGGAUUAAUUCGAAGCAACGCGAAGAACCUUACCAGGUCUUGACAUCGUAUGCAUAGCUCAGAGAUGAGUGAAAUCUCUUCGGAGACAUAUAGACAGGUGGUGCAUGGUUGUCGUCAGCUCGUGUCGUGAGAUGUUGGGUUAAGUCCCGCAACGAGCGCAACCCUUACUGUUAGUUGCUACGCAAGAGCACUCUAGCAGGACUGCCGUUGACAAAACGGAGGAAGGUGGGGAUGACGUCAAAUCAUCAUGCCCCUUAUGACCUGGGCCUCACACGUACUACAAUGGCUGUCAACAGAGGGAAGCAAAGCCGCGAGGUGGAGCAAACCCCUAAAAGCAGUCUUAGUUCGGAUUGUAGGCUGCAACCCGCCUACAUGAAGUCGGAAUUGCUAGUAAUCGCAGAUCAGCAUGCUGCGGUGAAUACGUUCCCGGGCCUUGUACACACCGCCCGUCACACCAUGGGAGUGGGUUGCAAAAGAAGUAGGUAGCUUAACCUUCGGGAGGGCGCUUACCACUUUGUGAUUCAUGACUGGGGUG